CUUUGAAUGAAAUAUAUUUUUGUUAGUUUUCAAAUAAUUGUUUUGGUGUAGUUUUGCGGUUAGUUAAUUAACCAUUUUCUCUUUCAUCUGAUUAAUUUUGAAAAAGAAGAAGCCAACACUUUACAUUAUCUUCUUUUUCUUUCGAAAGUCAUCUAUCUUUAAUAUGAUUAUUUGUAACAUUUGACAUUCGGUUUUCAUUUUUACUGUUUUUGUUUGAUUGAUCAAAUUAUGUGCUUCGUCUGAAAAUCAAACUCAUUUGCCACAACGUUGGUGCUUGCUGCAGCGGUAAAAAGGAACUAGAUUGUGGCUGAAUAUGUUGAGAAUAAUAUGUUGGCAAUACGAGUUAUUAGCAAGCAUCAAGUUGUUGCUAAGGUGUCAGAAUAACAGAAGCUAAUUUCUGAAAUUAUGCGAUAUGAAGAAAGUACAAAGUGUAUGUUUCAUAAUGCAAAAGUUUGAGCUUGAGUUCUCCAUUGUUUUGGAGAGAGGUGUUAUGCUCGAACAUAACAAAUAUCCUAGCUGGAACAUGAGUUAAACGCUACAAAUCAAAAUCUCCAGGUUUGUCCAAAGGAUCUUACUAGCUUUGUCCUUGUGGGUGGUUUUAUCUAAACCAAUAUGUUGAAAAUGUUGACUUUCAGAUCUACAAUGAGUAAUAUUUUAGUUUUUUAGUCUUAAAUUGACUGUGUCCUUCAUUUUAUCUUAUGUAUGCAAUACAAUUAUAGAUGUUAUUUCAAGAGAUAGAAAGAUAAUUGGGUAGGUUUGUCAUGUACACAACUAAUAUAGAAAGUAAUGAAAGUAAUAUGCUAUAAAGUUAAGAUAAAUCAAUAUAUUGUUUAUACAUUUGUCAACCUCUCCACCGGACGGGUAUGACACUAGUUAAAGUUAGUUGGGGGGUCAUAUUUCCAUCAAUUCCUAAUACUAUUAUGUUACAAAUCCUUUUGGAGUUUCGGUCAUGGAAGAUAAUUUUUAAAAUGUUUAGCUAUGCCAUUUUUAUUGAAUAGUUCAACUAUAAAAAAUACUUAAGAAGUUAAAUCAUAUGAUCAAAUUUA